rnacentral:rRNA from 1 species
AGAGUUUGAUCAUGGCUCAGAUUGAACGCUGGCGGCAUGCCUUACACAUGCAAGUCGAACGGCAGCACGGGGGCAACCCUGGUGGCGAGUGGCGAACGGGUGAGUAAAGCAUCGGAACGUGCCCUGAAGUGGGGGAUAACGUAGCGAAAGUUACGCUAAUACCGCAUAUUCUGUGAGCAGGAAAGCAGGGGAUCGCAAGACCUUGUGCUUUGGGAGCGGCCGAUGUCGGAUUAGCUAGUUGGUAAGGUAAAGGCUUACCAAGGCGACGAUCCGUAGCGGGUCUGAGAGGAUGAUCCGCCACACUGGGACUGAGACACGGCCCAGACUCCUACGGGAGGCAGCAGUGGGGAAUUUUGGACAAUGGGCGCAAGCCUGAUCCAGCCAUGCCGCGUGAGUGAAGAAGGCCUUCGGGUUGUAAAGCUCUUUCGGCGGGGAAGAAAUUGCUUGGGUUAAUACCCCAAGUAAA